rnacentral:misc_RNA from 1 species
GAUGAAGAACGCAGCGAAAUGCGAUAAGUAGUGUGAAUUGCAGAAUUCAGUGAAUCAACGAAUCUUUGAACGCACAUUGCGCCCUUUGGUAUUCCUUAGGGCAUGCCUGUUCGAGCGUCAUUUAAACCUUCAAGCUCAGCUUGGUGUUGGGUGACUGUCCGCUUCACCGCGGACUCGCCUCAAAAUUAUUGGCGGCCGGUACAUUGGCUUCGAGCGCAGCAGAAACGCGAACUCGGGCCCGUCGUAUUGGCUCCCAGAAGCUAUCUUCACAAUUUUGACCUCGGAUCAGGUAGGGAUACCCGCUGAACUUAAGCAUAUCAAUAAGCGGAGGA